rnacentral:snRNA from 1 species
AGCGGCUGGGAAUCUCACAAAUCGAACUUCCCUCUCGCCUUUUACUAGAGGAAACCGUGCGAGGUUCCCACAAUGGCCGCAUUACGAAUUUUUCAGAACCUCAGUUCUUCUGAGUC